UUGAGAAAUAAACGCGUCACACUGGCGACUGAUUGUGCUGGACCUCUGCAAAGGAGGUGUCUGUGCGGAGUGAGAGAAAGGACAGUGGUGCUCCAGGCGACGGACUGCAAGAGCCUACCCAGCCUACAACACAUGGGGACAGUAAUCAACCACCCAGGAGCAUACAGUACAGAGCUCAUCUGAUCUGUCAAAUUCAAGACUGGAGUGUUGCUUGUACUUGGAGACAUCCUUUCUAGCAUUGGAAGUAGCAGUGACAGCCAGCCCUAGCAGCAGGCAGUAGCCCUCUCUCCUGGCCCGAGACGCUGCUGCAAACCGUUAGCCCUGUUGUCGCCUGACGAC
ensembl:lncRNA